CCCGCGCGGGUGCGGCGAGGGGAGGGUCCGGGGUUCUGAGCGCCCCCUUGCAAAGGGGUGUCGCACACCGGCUCGAAGGUGGCGGCGAAGCAGUGUGGAUGGCUUCUUCUUUUCCUCAGAAAGUUUUCUCAGCCUCGCGGACCGAGGUGUGGAGCCUUGGCGCUUUCCACAAGUGCUUUUGUCAGGAAACGAAUUAGAACUGAGGCCUUUUCGAGCCACAGGGACCCGACGAACGACUACAUUUUUCUCCCUUCAGGGAGAAGUUUCCCUCUUCAAAGCCAGUUUCCUUCUGUGGAAAGCCUCUGAGAUCCUCCCCGAGGAACCUUCUCGACCUCUCUUCUGUCGGAAUCACAUGUUCCCUGCUCCCAAAAUGGCGCCAUAGGACAAAGGAGUUGGGGGAAUUCAUCUCCCGCUCCCAGCCCCACAAACACGUGGAGACAGUGCUUGCUGUACAGUUGAGGCUUCUGAACCCCACUUCCUGCUGGACUUGGCUCCCCUGAACCCACAGAAAUCCCGGAGCAGCCCUCCUUUCGUUUGAGGCCACUGCAGGUCACCAACAGAAUGCCUCUUGUGGCUUUCAAGCUUGACCCCAGUGCUUGCUCAGAAGGUGAUGUUCACAAAAGUGAAGUCACAUUCCUCAUUUCGGAGUCACGCUCUGUUCGGUAGGGUUAGUUAACCCAGCUGCCCAAGGAGCACGAAUGCACUGGAAGUAAAUUGGUUUUAUUUUGUCCCAUGGCCACAAAGUCUUUGGACCUAGGGAGGUGGAGAACAGAUCGAGAGAGCAGAAAGACCAUUUUAAAUUAAUUAUCUCCCUCCCAGUGACAGUAUCUUGGCCCAGGAAGGACAGCACAAAUGGCAGCAGGGAUUCCUCAUGUGUCUGCAGGUUACAUGAACUAAUCCAGAAGUAUGUAGAGUUGGUAUCUGGAGUCAAAAGACCAACUAUUUGAUUUAGAUCCCACUUCUUCACAAAAGACAGUUCCUUCUUUGAAGGAGUUUAUAAUUAGGGUAGAUGAGAAUAACACACAGAUCUAUAUACCUUGAUGAAGGUGUUGCUACAAGUUGGUGCCGGGACUGGCCUCCUGAUACAUGGUCCAGAGCAUUUCCAUUACCUCAUGCCCUGGUUAUAAGAGCCACUGGAGUUACAAGGAGGUUAUGGCUAGUGGGAGAGUUGUCUGUCACCCCAGUCCUCCAUUCCCAGAAUCAUUUGCAGGUGUACCAUUUUACAUUCCCGCCAGAGGUGCACAAGAGUUCCAGUUUCUCCACAUCCUUGCCAGCGCUUGUCAUCUUCUGUGUUUUGGAUUGUAGCCUUCCUAAUGUGUAUGAGGUGGUAUCUCAUUGUAAUUUUGAUUAGCAUUUCCGUAAGGAUGAGUAAUAGUGAGCAUCUUUCCAUGUGCUUAUUGGCCAUUUGUGUAUCUCUUUGGAGGAAUGUCUAGUCAAGUCCUUUGUCCAUUUUUGAGUUAUUAUGGGUUAUUAUCUCAUGGGGUUUUGUGAUCACUUAAGUACUAUAUUUCAAAGUAUCCACCUAAGUUGCCCAAGGUCACGUGACUAGUGGGUGGCAGAGGCCCAGGUUUCUGGACUCUACUCCAUCAUGCUACCUCAAGUCAGCCUCCCAUUGCCUUAGCCCCAUACCUCGUAGCUUCAAAUUCCUCUUCUUUCUCAUGGAUUCUCCGGUCGAUGUCAGCUUUCACCUGAGCCAGUUCCAGCUGAAUUCGAAUCACCUUGCUCUCUUCAACCUGCCGGGAGUAUAAACAUCAGACUUUCUGGCUAAGUAGGUGUGCGGUCACUGGCCA